UCAUCGUCUGAGCUUUGUGGUUGAUCCGUCAAGGAUGUUUAGUCUACUACAUUUUCGUACUACCAUUGUAUUUCAAUACAUUUGUUUAGUCUGAACGAAACAGAAUAACCCCUUGUAGUCUGGGUACGAAUCCCUUAAUUCAAAUCAUUUGACAUAUUAUACCUAUCCGGCGGUAAUAAUUGCCGAGACCGUCUGGCCGACGUCUCGCCCUAUUCACUAUAGCUAAUGUACAAACACAAAGACCAGACGAUGAAAAAUUGGGAUAUAAAAGGGACACCUCCGGCUCGGGGAGUCAGAACAGUUCGUGAAUUCUUCAAGUUCGUUUGGUAAAGAAGCAAGUACAAUAUUAACGCACACCAAAAGACGUUCAACCAUGUCAUAUGCCGAAUUCCAACGUGUUGGAGAAUGACUUAUCAUCCGGUGAGUUGGUAGAUUAUAUUUUUUUGUGCAUUUUCUAAAGCUGCACUGGCUUUAUUUGAGUGUUUGAAGUGACCAACGAUGGCUGAUACUUUCUGCAGACAAGUUAUUUUCUUUUAAAGCUUUUUCUACACUACACUGCAGAGUAUGACAAAAACAACGGACACUUAUUUCAAUGUCAUAAACAGCUUCCCAAUUGUCUCGUACAGCAGCAACCAUGUACCGAGCAUUAUCAUGGACGACAGCAAUUACUUUUUCAUACAGAUUCCAAUCAUGUAAUGCUUUAGACAGGUGGUUGUAUGUAUUUGUGGCAUUGUGACUUUCUGGCAUUUCCAAUAUAUUUAAGAGCGAGAUGACCACCCAUCCGUAGUUAUGGAUAUUGAUGGAUAUUGGAAUCGAUUCAAGGAUGACAAUAGUAUCGUGUAAUCAGGACAAACAGUUUGAAGGAAUUGGAGAAGUCCAGGUCCUACUACAAAUGACAACGGUAGCAUGUCGAUUGCGAUCAUUUCACCAGGGAUAAAGUACAAUUGCGGGAUCGGUUUUUGUAGCCAAAAUUCUUGCUGAGGUGACAUUGCUGUGUUGACAUUUGAAAACGGAUCCAACACCCAGUCUGGUAUUUCCAAGUUCAAAAUGUCUUGGUAUCAUUCGGUGAAGUCAAUGUGGAGGUUUUCCAAAUGUUGGCAGUAGGCAAACAAUUCGUCGUUACUGCAUGAUACUGAUAAAUUUGGAAAAUUGUGAAACUCACGUCUGCCCAGAUUCUUUUUGUGUAGAAGCAGUUUGGCUGCGAAAGCAGCAACGACGUUUUUUGUUUUAAUUAAAUUUAGUUUAUCGCCUUGCAGUUUGAGAUUCAUGUCGUUGGACAAUUUAUACAGGUCUGUCAUGUAAGCUAUAUCAUUUUUUGAUGUUAUGAGCUUGUCGUGCAAUUCUGUAUCUUUAGUUUCCAAGAACUUUCCACUAACAGUCAAACAGGUUAUAAAAUCGAGUCAGACAAUUGCCUCUUGAUAGCCAACGAACUUCAGUAUGAAACAACAUAUUGCAGUGAUGGAAAUAGUUUUUCACUUAAGUUUCUAACAACUAAAUGUUGUCUAUGAAUAACGCAAUGUACACCAAGGACAUCUGGAAUUUUAUUUUUUAAGUACGCUAUGAAGCCUUUAUGGCACCCUGUCAUAGCCGAAGCGCCAUCCGUAGCAACUGAAAUAAUAUUUUUCAAAGGAAUCCCUUUCUCAUCGUAAAACUUUUCCAAUGUAUUGAAUAUGGUAUCACCUUUUGUAUCGGUCUCUAAAUUUCUAGCAAAUAAUAGUUCUUCACAUAUU